rnacentral:rRNA from 1 species
AGAGUUUGAUCAUGGCUCAGAACGAACGCUGGCGGCAGGCUUAACACAUGCAAGUCGAGCGCCUCGCAAGAGGAGCGGCAGACGGGUGAGUAACGCGUGGGAAUCUACCCAUCUCUACGGAACAACUCCGGGAAACUGGAGCUAAUACCGUAUACGUCCUUCGGGAGAAAGAUUUAUCGGAGAUGGAUGAGCCCGCGUUGGAUUAGCUAGUUGGUGGGGUAAUGGCCUGCCAAGGCGACGAUCCAUAGCUGGUCUGAGAGGAUGAUCAGCCACAUUGGGACUGAGACACGGCCCAAACUCCUACGGGAGGCAGCAGUGGGGAAUAUUGGACAAUGGGCGAAAGCCUGAUCCAGCCAUGCCGCGUGAGUGAUGAAGGCCCUAGGGUUGUAAAGCUCUUUCAACGGUGAAGAUAAUGACGGUAACCGUAGAAGAAGCCCCGGCUAACUUCGUGCCAGCAGCCGCGGUAAUACGAAGGGGGCUAGCGUUGUUCGGAAUUACUGGGCGUAAAGCGCACGUAGGCGGAUUGUUAAGUUAGGGGUGAAAUCCCGGGGCUCAACCCCGGAACUGCCUUUAAUACUAGCAAUCUCGAGUCCGAGAGAGGUGAGUGGAAUUCCGAGUGUAGAGGUGAAAUUCGUAGAUAUUCGGAGGAACACCAGUGGCGAAGGCGGCUCACUGGCUCGGUACUGACGCUGAGGUGCGAAAGCGUGGGGAGCAAACAGGAUUAGAUACCCUAGUAGUCC